UNCAGGUUGUCUAUGAAAAUAGCCAUUUGG
rnacentral:piRNA from 1 species